UCCCUGGUGGUCUAGUGCUUAGGACGUGGCACUCUCACUACUGUGGCCCAGGUUCAAUCCCUGGUCAGGGAA
rnacentral:tRNA from 1 species